rnacentral:misc_RNA from 1 species
CGGUUCUUUGUAGUCUCUGCUC